UUUUUUUUGGUGUGUGGGUGUGGUGGGGGUGGGGGUGGGGGUGGCGGACGGGGUGCAUAUAGUCUAGUCAUUGGUCACAACAUUCUGUAAAAACUCCGUGAGCCAAUUCUCCAUUGUCAUUGAGAAAGUAUUCAUAGCAAUUUGUGCCAGACAUUUUAGUUCCCCAUAGGCACUAUAUAACUUAAUAAGUUAUAAUAACAAAGUUAUAAUAACAAAAGAAAAUAAGGAUUUUCUUUUGGACAAGGAAGAAAUGGAUGUUUGAGGGAGAUUAACUAUUCAAAUUCUCAUAACUGCCAAGUGAUGGAGUCAGGAUUUGAACCUGGACAACUUGUGAUCAGCCUCGGCACUCUUAACUGGGCCAUUGUAGCAUUUAAGUUAAGAAACUCCUUGAGCAAGCCCCAUUGCCUCUGUUCUCCGUAUUCUGAAGCCUUAAGGUUGGGGAGGUAGCCUCAGGACAGGGCCUCAGGAGGAGGACCUAUUGUUAUUAGUUUAGUUGCUUAGGAGUGACACUCCUCACUCUUCUCCAGGGGUAGCUCACAGAGAGGUGCACAGGACAUGUGGUUCAGUGAUCGCAGAAGUCAGAAGCCAGGGAUACCUCCUUACUCUCUGUGGCUGCCAGGUUCUGCUGAUUUUCUCUUGGGGUUAGUAAUCAAGGAGUGGAAACUGUGGGUAGAGGCGGAACUUCUAAAUGUUUUGGCAACGUGGGGAUUAUGCAAGUGUUGCUUGGGAAUCUGAGUGUUUUGUCCUUGGAAGGUAACGUGAUGCCUCCCUCCCAUCAGUGAAGCAGGUGGGAAGGUUAUAGCAUGAUCCUAUUUUAAGAUAGGAGUGGCUUUUUUUUUCUUAUAAGGUAUUAAUGAGCAGUAGGUUAUUAUUCCUUUGCUAAGUUUGAUAGUAAUAUAGAAGCAUUACUGAAAAUGCUCUGGGAACAAUUUAGUUUUAGAGUCAACCUUAAGUUUUAUACAGAGCUCUACAGCUACUGUGCCAGAAGUUACCAGCCAGCUAGACCCUCUCCAAAUAAGCGUGGAGGAAAAUCUAGCUGUGCAGUGCUACUGCUUCCCCAGACUUUCCUAACAUAAGACUCAGCGUGCUGGGCAUUUAUUACUGUGACUAUUCCUGUGACUUUCAUUAUUGAUUACAUCAUCGGUGUACAAUUAGACGUUUUUGACCAACUAGAGUUUUGUUCCAUGAACAACUGCCUGGAUUUUUGGUUGCUUUACUUAGCUCAUUUCAGCAGUUGAGAGCCAGAAAUAUCAAUUCUGUUAAAGACUACCUCUUACUUUGUUUGUGAGCCUAGCCUUUUAUGGCUGAACUGUCUCUUCAGCCCAUACCUCUUACUCGGAAAAUUAAUCUAUUCACUUUGUGCAACGGAAAGUCGUGAUGUCCAUGUAGUACACAAUGAUAUUAACCCAAUCUUGAAUUUCAUAAAAGUGAGCAUAAUACUUGGGAAUAUAUUGCAGAGAUGUUGCUGAUUAAUUAUUGAUCCGUAAUAUUCACAUAUGAUUGAUUCUUCCAGGCAGGAUUUAUAUUAAGUUAUUUUAUUAUUAAUUUAUCCAAUACUUAGGUACAAAUGUAAUAUUCACAUCAGUAGGCGUUUUGCAGUGUUUCAAAACUAUUGAGAAGCUGGCAAGAUGGUUCAGUGCACAAAAGUGUUUGGUAUGCAAGCCUGACGAGCUAACUUUGACCUCCAGAGAUCACAUUUAAAGAAUAGGCUGGCUGCAUACAGUGGUGCCCUCCUUUAAUCCCAGCACUCAGGAUGCUGAGGUAGGCAGAUCUCUGUGGGUUUGAGAUUAGUCUGGUCUACGUAGUGAGUUCCAGGACAGCCAAGGUUUCACAGACAGAAACCUCCCUACCCCACUCCUACAAAACCUACCAGGCCAAGCCAGGUAUAAUGUCACCCAUCUCUUUAAUUCCAGCACUCAGAAUUCAGAGGCACGCAGAUCAAUGUGAGUUUAAGCACAGCUUGGUCAGCACGGAUCUGGGCUAUGGAGAGAGACCCGGCCUUAAAAAUAAAAGCCAGAUGUGACUGCACUCAUCUGUAAUUCCAGGUCUCCUAUGGUGUCUCCUAUGGGAGACAGACAGGAGAGACCCUUGCUUUAAUAAGGUGGAAGGAUGCAGUGGAAUUCCUCCCUAAUUAACUGAAUAAUAAAGAAGAUGAGAAGCUAAUCACUGGGUGAGGAGGAGGUGGGCCUUCUGGUCCGAGAGAGGAAGAGGGAAUGCAGGAGGAGGACACUUCCUUUUAGACUUCGAGGGGAUCGAAAGCGGAUAAAAUGUCGGUCGAGGACUGUUAGAUCUGGUGGCGGAAUCCACCAGAAUCUGCCACCAGAAGAUUUCUAAUGUAGAAUAGUUGAUGAGCUUAGGACAAUAGAUUCCAUGCCCAGUGGUUGUGUUAUCUGUUGAUUCUAAACUAAGAUUGUGGGUGUUUUCCAUUUCGAAGAGGCGACUCAGCUGAGCUCCAGAAGAAAGCUAACCACAGUGAAGCAUGGGUUGGUGAGAGUGUGCUCCCAGCUAGCCGUGGAAAUUUUGGAGUGCUGGGCGGUUUGGUGGCAGCUAGCUGCAGGGGUCGGAUGGUUGGGAAGACACAGUGGUUCAGUGGCAAGCAAAUUGCAGGAAGAUUGGUGGACCAGCACUUGGGAAUAGCCAUGAGGGCGGGGAGACCACCGUGGCUGGAGAAUAGCCAGCAAUAGUGAAGACUGAUUUUUAAUAAUUGCAUGCUACAGAGAGGACUGACUCCUGAAAACUGUCUUGUGACCUCCACAUGUGCAUGGGGCAUGCAUGUGACUGCAUUCAUACAAGCAAUCCACACACACACACACACACACACACACACACACACACACACACGCACACUAUACUUACUAAUUCAGAAGUGGAGACUUUUCUAACAUUCUCAUGAAGAAGAAAGAUAAUUUCUGUAGGAAACUGCUGUCUGAAAAUCAUAGUGACAGUCAUAACUUAGGCAAAAGGUUGGCCCUAUGAAGUUGAAAAGAGACUGGAAGAGCUUCUAGCCGAUGUGGUCAGGAGAGGAUGUGGGACAGCCUGGGUGAUGGCUGGGGACUAGAGAAUGGGGAGACAGGGCAAUCAAGUCAAAAGUCCGGUGUGAGCUAGAGUCUGAAAUGGGAACACAGGACAUUAUUUGGAACAGCAAAUAUGACAGCUACAUUUCUACAUCGGAGUAGCAUGUAAUAAACUAAGAAUAAAUAACAAGAAAAGAGCAGAUUGCUGAUGGACAAUCUUGAGUUGCCAUGACAAGGGGCCUGGUACUUAUUUAGGUUUGAGAUAGCAAGCAGUGAAGAGUUUUCAGGGAGAAAGGAAGAACAGUUACACUCCUAGUUAUGGAAGUUGAGCACAGCCUCACUGUGGUGUAGGGGAGUUGAAGGAGACCUGGUCAGACUAUUGCCACAAGGCCGUGAACACUUGGACUGAAGAAGCAGAAUGAGUGGAUUCUGAGACAUAUGGAGGAGGGGGAGGCAAAGCUCGAGUGGGACACAGUUUCAGAGAAGAGUGGAUUCAGUCACAGAAACGGGAUAUUCAGGGAAGGAUAGAAGACUUUGGAAUUCCUACCAAGUUGGAGGUGCCCCUGGGUGGAGGGAGAUGAAAAGACGGCUCUGAGUGGAGAUGAAGGAGGGGAAGCUUUGGGAGACGGAUGACAGCAUGCUGGGGAUACUGUCUUACGAGAGGACUGAAGGGCUCUAGCAGGCCAGAGCACAGCAAACAUGAUGCCAACAGUUUUGAUCUUUUCCCCUUUUCCCCAAUUCCCUCUCCCUAAACCAAGCCACCAAGGUCUACUCUCCCCCCCUUUACUUUUAGCUAUUUCCUCUUUCUGAGGUGGACCAUUAAGGCCUAGCUAUCGAAGUAUUGAAGUCGAGCAAUCAGCAAUCAAAAGCUCCCUGUUAGCUACCCUAAUGUACACACCCAACUAAAAUUAAAUCUCAUCCUAACACAUGGGUUUCCCAUUUUUCUUUAUAAACUGCCAUUUGCCUAUAGGCCACAUCUGUCUUCUCUCUCUCCAGAGCUAGUCUUUUGUCCUUCUGGGUGAAUGACUUGUUUCACUCUCCCUUGUCCUGUUUCUUUCCUCCCCCUUGUCUCAUAUUCCUUGACUUUUGUCCCUCUGGGGCAAAUAAAUCUUUGUGCUGGGAACUUGGUGUGUCCUGUGCUGAUGCCUAUGCUUUCAAGAAGGAAGGCCGGGGAAGAUCCUCUGUGAAGCUCUUAGGCUCAGGAAAUUUUAGAUUCAGUCAGGUAUUAUUUGUAAUGAAACUUGAUGAAUUGGACCACAUGACUAAAAGAAGCACUUGGAAGGUAAACGCAAUGCAAGCUGUAUGAGAUUUAUUGCUCACACGGUCCAAAUACUUCAUUUGACCAGUAAGAGUUUAUCUUAGGUAGUACAAUAAAGCAACUUGCUUAAUAAGCUUUUUCUUAAUAAGUAAGAAGAGCUCAUGAAUUUACAAUCCUGGACUCCAUUCACUUCUUAGUACUCUCUCCAUAAAGGAAGGGAAAGGCCUGGGCGAGAACAGCAGGUAAAUUUAGGUGAAGGUAAAGAAAGAGGCAUCCUGUUGAUUUUACAGAUCCUACUUGGACAGGAAGAACACAUUAAUGGUGUCUUCCUGAAGAAACCGGAAGGGGCAGGUUGGAACGAUGGGAGCAUUUGAUUAGUCAAAUGUUUUCAGAUUCAACCUCUUAGAAGCAGAGUAGCUUGUGACAUCAUGACCCAUUUGUCGUUAUUUUCACCCCCAGUAUCAGAAGAAGAACACUAGAAGUUGCUUAUUUGAAUUUACAAUCCACCAAUGAGCUGAGCUGGUGGAGGAUGUGUUAAGUAACCAUAGCCUUGAGAGUACUAGGCAGGCACACGAUUCUUAGAGACAAAUUCUGACUCAUUGAAGAAGUUUACGGAAUUUUAGUGAAAGUAGACCUAAAGAGCUCUUGGAAAAACUUAUUUAAAAAAAUCCUUCAGGUGGGUGGAGGAUGGCACAGUGGCAGAGCCCUUGCCCAGCCUGUAGGAUCCUGAUUCCAGCAUUGGAAAAGAGUUCUUGAAAAAGGAACGUCAAUAGGGUAGGCAGAUCACGAGGCCUGGGCAACUUGUAAAUGGAAAUAUCUACCUCAAUGAAAAACCGUGUCAGCAAUGAAGAGAAGAAAGCUAUGGAUCAAGCAAAAACAAGCCCAUUUAAGUAGUUUAUCAUCUAACUGAGACUCUUCCCAAUUAUCUCACAGAAUGGAAAACAAAAAUAAAAUGGUAGCAACCAUAUUUAAUAGUAUAAAUACUGCGGGUUGGGGAUUUAGCUCAGUGGUAGAGCGCUUGCCUAGCAAGCACAAGGCCCUGGGUUCGGUCCCCAGCUCCGAAAAAUAGAAAAGAAAAAAAAAUAGUAUAAAUACUGCAAAAAUUCAGAUCCACACAGAUGAGAACCACAGAACAAUUGGUGUGUGUGUGCGUGUGUUGCAUUAUGCUAAUGACAAUAAUAGAGGUAGUAAUGAUAUAUAGUGAUGAUAUAUACUUUAUAACAUGUAUUAAGAUGACAGAUGAAAUGAGACUGUUCCACUCAUAUUUUGUUUUCAUGUCUUUAAGGGCGAGAUUUUUGAUCCUAGAAAGACCAGAACAUGAGUGCCUAAGGAGAAUAUGAUGCUUGAGAGGAAAUGGGACCUCUGACAGUGACCCUGGUUUCAGUCUCUGGUGGGCUUCAAUUCUGAGGGAAGAAAAACUAAUAAACAUGACUAUAAAAAAUGAUGCAACCUUGGGUAAAGUGAAAGAUGUCAAAAGACGCAAAAUGGGAAAUGUCCCAAUUUUUGGAAGGGGUAUAAAGGUUAAUUAAGAGUAUUGGAGGACUGAUAAAACAUAUUGACUAUCCCCUGGCAACACUGCAGAAUGAGUUUUAUUUAAACAUGGGAUGUGGUGUUUAGAUAGGAAUAUCCAGGAAGCGGGAUUUGAUCCUGUAAAGACAUGGGGUGAUGAUGUAACUUACUUAAUGUUACUGUUUACCUAGUAAGUAAAAGAUCUUGCUUCAUCCUUAGCACUCGAAACCAAAACAAACCCAAAUAUUUGAAACUCACUUUUUCUCCCCUGUGUGGUUUAAUUAUUUCAAGAUCCUGAGAUAAUGAAGAUUGUAGCAGUCCAAUUAGAUAAAUAAUAAAUAAAUAAAUAAAUAAAUAAAUAAAUAAAUAAAUAAAUAAAUAAAUGGCUAACACUGACUAAGUGUGUCUGGAACCACCUAAUGCCAUAAACACAUAAACACAUUAAUUUAUUUAGUCUUCUUCAGUUCUCUGUGAGGUUGGGACCAUGUUUAUUUCUAUAAUGUAUAUGGAAAAACCCAGGAGCCAAGGCACUUAGAUCACAGGAAUUCGGUAUUUUGUGACUUCCCCAUGGCCUCAAACAAAGUCCGGUUGUUAUGGUGUGACUAUGAAUUGUUUCCCAUGGGGUCCUGGGGUGAUUUCUCAGUAACCUCAGCUAGUGACUCUGAUGUGGGUGGUGGUUGGAGCUUCCGGAGACAGGACUAGCUAGCACAAUGGUCUCAACCCUCCUUCUACUCUGAUCCGUAAGCCCAGUUCCUCAUGUUGUGUUGACCUCGCCCAGCCAUAAAAUUAUUUUCAUUAUUACAUCACAGCUGUACUUUUCUACUGUUAUGCAUCAUAAUGUAAAUCUCUGUGAUUUCCAGUGAUCUGUGGUGUCUCCUGUGAGAAGGUCAUUUGACCUUCAAAGGGGCUGCAACCCAUAGGUCAACCUCUUGGUAGAGGAAGCAGGCCCCUGGGGGCGGAGCCUGUGAAGGCUCUGCUUGGGUUCGCAGUCCUUUCCUCUCAGUUCUUCUGCCAUCAGGAGUCUCUGUCUGAGUGCGUGGAGCCGAACACCAGAGGACUGCACUCCUGAACCUCUGAGCUGUAAUAAAUCUUUCUUCCCUUGGUUGGCCUCUCAGGAAACUCGGGAGAUCGUAGAGUAAACCUCUGUGGCCUUCGUGUCUGGAGCCAACGUGGAUGGACAGAAGGAAUAAACCUGGUGAGUUGUUCCCAUAGGAAGAGCAUCCAGAGCCGCCACACCGGAAGUGCAGGGCAUGCAGCAACUGGGCAUGAAUAAAGAGACUGUGCAGAAGGAAACCACUGAUUCCUGGGUCCUUUCAUGAUCCCUGCAUGUAGUUAAGGCUCACCUAAUUCCCUACUGUAAAAAUAACAUAGGUUGAUUUUUAUUGUUAUUUAUGGUUUUUUCUUGUAUCUUUAAAAAAUGCCUGUGGGUGUUUUUCUUGUGUGAUUGUCUAUGUAUCAUGUGUUUAGUGCUUGCAGGGGCUAGAAGAGAGCAUUAGGUCCCUGGAAAGGGAGUUAAAGAGACUUGGGCCACCGUAUGAGUUCUGGGAAUCCAACCCAAGUUCUCUAGAAGACCAGGUUCUCUGCCAAGCCGUCUUUCCAGCCCCCGAACCUUCGUCCUUAAGUCGGCAUGGCAGUAGGGCUUUGGGUUACUGCUACUACUUACAGGAUGAAUUAAAAUGUUCUGGUUUCCAACCUCAUUGUAGUCUGCAAAUUUAAAUCUCCUUUCCUAACCUAGCAGCACAUUUUAACACUUUAGCACUAUGAUGGUUUACCCCUCUGUCUAACCUUCCUUGCUUAUUCUAAUGAACAGUGACAUCACAAAUAGUAACAGUUCACAAUCGCAAGUCCCUGAGUUAUUAAAAGGCUCUGGUAAAAUUGGCUGGGUCUUCAGUAAAAACCAAAACCUAUUUAGCAGGUCACAGAUUAGCUUGCCCCUCCCACUUCGCAGCUCGAUUGUAUUUGAUAUUAUUAUUAUUAUUAUUAUUAUUAUUAUUAUCAUUGUAUAUCAGCUACUGUUGAGUUAAUUGUUAGAGUACUGAAAGACGCAAAGAUGUCCUGGAUUUAAUCCAUUCUGGCAAGAGGGAAAUGACUAACAGGUAUGAGGUGGUGGUGGUGGUGGGGUUGUUAACUUUUGAGAACUGACUUUGAAUUCCUUCAGACCUUUGUAAAACUGUCCCAAGUCCUUCUGAGAUGGCACAAGAUGCCCCUGCCCACUUCUACUCAUGGCAGACAGAGGGAUGUGGGAGGAGACUUACAGGUAGUAAGGAAACUGGUUUGUGUUAGAAGACGUUGCUCAGUGACGAAUCCACCAGGGAUUUUUCUUGCCCCACUCAAAACACUCAUCCUGAGUGUGGUUUGAGACUUGGAGAUGGGAAAGUGGAAAUCUGUUUCACUAUUAGCAGUGGAAUAUGCGACAUUUCUUUAGGUUGUAUUUAAACACUCAGUCAUAGUUUUCUAAAGAACCAUAUCUUUCUUUAGACCAUCCAGUGAGGUCCAAGAACUUCUGUCAGUAGAUGAUCUAACAGAGUAGCUUUAUCAUUUAGUAGCACAUUGGAAAAACCUUCUAAAAAAAAACCCAGCUUCCUUAAUGGGCUAUCAAAAUUAUUGUACCUCAUCCCAUGACCUCCUGUGUUGGUGGGUGUUAUGCUUGGCAAAGAAAGAUGGCCUGGCACAUUGUUUGAAGAAACCUCUCCUUCUCUGGAAGGAGCAUGUAAUCUUGGUACAGCACUGUGGAAAACUGCAGAGCUUCAUUGUUUGAACAGUCUGGCAUAGGGUCUCUUUAGGAGAGGGCUGUGUCUUCACGCUCACGACAAAUUGGAACUAUCUUUGUAGCUAUGUUUUAACAGAGGUAUGCUUAACAACGGUGCAUUAAACACCCCUGUAAACACCAAGUUUUCAAACAUCUACACAAGACUACACAGGUAGCCCACACACUAUUAAGAGGUAUACAGUUAGUAACCAGGUUGGCUUGCCCUGUGAUUCACUGUUUCAUUUGCAUAGGUAAAACGAACAGGGUGGAUAUGCUGGGCCUGGAAUACACAAACAGGAGUGGUGUCUUGGACGUGUGUGAAGUCACAAGAGACAGUGUGCUCAGAAGUCAGCUCUCAUUCUAAUACUUAUGGUGUCACUGCCUUGAAAUCUCAAAAUAUUGGGUUCUUGCAUUUUGGUUCUGUGCUGGAGCCUGCACAUUUCAACAGGAAGUUCUGCUUCUGGGUGAUUAAUUACUUUGCUGACACUUAGACAAUUCCCAAAUAUUGACAGAAACAUAAGGUGAGUAGAAGUGGCCAGGGACUAUGAGCUGAAGCAGUAUCGAGAGUUAGUAUUAUGUUAUGAUUUUAACAUGCUUUAUUUUUAAACUGGGAGAUUUCUUCUGGUUUAUGCAAGAACUUCUUGCCUCCUAAAUUCCUAUAUUUACAAGUCAAGAAAAUAUUCACUGGGAGUGGAAAGAAAUAGGGAGUGGAUCCAGGGAAAUGUGAGAGAGCCUUAUUGUUUUGCGUCAUGGGCAGCUUUGGCCCACAGAUCUGGCUCAGAUCGCUGUGUCAGGACUUUCUGUGGCCCCUUGCCAAAGGGAGGGAGGCCUCAGCAGGUGCUCUGGCUUCAGAUUCCUACUGGGGUCUAACUCUUGACAGAGCCCACCUCCUUCAUGCCUGAGCCCAGGUGCUACCCUCUUUGGAAGUUCCACACCCCGUCCACUCCACCUCACCACUCCACUCACAACGGCUGCCCACCCCCAUCCUCACUCCUGAUGUCCCGGAGUUUUUUCAUAAAACUUUCAGUUUAAAUGCAUAAGACUCGGUGCACAGUCACAAACUGAAUUAAAGUGUGAGCAAACGAGUUGAUAGACACAUCCUUCACCAUCAAAGCUAAACCUUUAAGUAAGAAGCAACAUACCAGCCAACCCAUUGCCCCUCUUCUAAUUGGGUCCGUUCUCUGCAAAUUGACAGUAGUUCUCAGAAUUCAUCACAUUUCCCAGAAAUGCCUUGCGUUUACAGAUCUAUAAUCUUCAGAGAGUUAAGAUGUAGGGGCAGUUCCAUUUGAGUCCUUCCAUAUUAAGUACUGCAUUUUCCAACAUUCCCAGAGUUAUGAAGAGACGGGAAUGUGGAAGGGGAGGUGGGCUGACUGGUGCUACUCAGCUAAAAAGGGAUCUUUCUGUUCUCUAGGAACCCACUCAGGAUUCAGUUUUUAUUCUUCACCUUGGACCGCGCUUACUACCAGAGAGUAAACUGUAGUGAACCGUGUCAGUGUGACCUGCCUUCUUCCACAUCUCUCAAAAUAAUCGAGAGUUUGGUAUCACCGUUUCCAGUAACACUAAAUAUCGAUUCCAUGUUGGGUAUGUUGACGCCUUGAAUCACAGCACUUUGGAGGCAGAAGCAGGCAGAUCUCUGUGAAUUCAAGGUCAGGUUAGUCUAAAUGGUGUCAAGCCAUCCAUGGCUACAUAGUGGGUAAAAGUCUAUUAAAAGUCUAUUUCAACAGCCCUUUGUCCAUAUAAAACUCAGUCAUUUGUCAAAUGUAUACUAACUUGAAUUAGCCUCAAGUGUGUUUUGAAGUUCUAAGUAUACUAUUUAAUUGGUGUAAAGUUGUCUUGUUUUCAAAUUUUAGCUGGGAACGGAACUCAUUGACUAACAAGCGUUUUGAUCAUCAGUUUAGCUGACAAGGAGCCGCUCGAGGGUUGGAGCGAUGAAGGCAGAAUGUGAAGGCGAUUGAAUCAAAGUCAGUUCAGAGCAUCCAGACCAUAGUGCCCUCCUUCAGAUAAUCCUUUCUGAGUCCUUUCAUAACUGUCCCUCGUGGUCUCUAAAUCGUUGAGAAAAUUUAUGAAUAAUCUUAAAAUUAAAUCUACUGGUGUAGGAAGCCAGUGGCUUACAAUAUUUUAAGAGAAAAUGUCGCUUGGCUUAGCCAAACUACAUGCAGAUGAAAAUUUUCAAUUAUCUGUAGUAACAAGAAUAUCUUUUUAGUCAUUUGAAACCUCUGUGGGAUAAGCACAAUACUUACUGCUUAUUUCAUUUUUAUUGCCGGGAGUUAAAGGAUCACAAUUCAACAAUAAUA